rnacentral:rRNA from 1 species
AAAAGAACUUUGAAGAGAGAGUUCAAAAGGGCGUGAAACCGCUUAGAAUAAAACGGACGGAGCCGUCGGGAGCCUCCGGGAAUCAGUCUUACGAUACGCGAACGUGUCGUUGGUUCGGAACGCAAAGUCCGACCGCGAAACGCUAGUAACGUUCGUUUGGCGCAUUUCUCGGAGGUAAGCAUCGCGACCGAUACGAUAGGUCGACGAAGCGAUCGGAUUGAGGUCGAGACUCUUCGCGGAGACUCGUAACCAGUCUUUUCGUUUUCGAUCGUCGAACCGUAGAAUAGUAUCGAGCGCCUAAGUAAAAUAUACGUCGGCAGUAAAAGCUCGCUCGAAUAACGGCUAGUCGGUCGAUAGUAUCGGUACUUGCUCGCAGGUGCCGAUCUAUUCCCGAUCGACUUAAAAGUUGUCGGCGACGUAACGACGUAUAGGCGUCGGCGAUGUCAGUGUCGGCCACCCGUCCGACCCGUCUUGAAACACGGACCAAGGAGUCUAACAUAUGCGCGAGCUAAUGGGUGGAAAACCCAAAAGCGUAAUAAAAGUAAAGGCUGUUUCGGACAGCUAAGGUACGAUCCUCGAUACCGAGCGUAUCGGGGCGCAAUACCGUCCCGUCCCGACCGCACGUCGGUAGGGCGGAGAUAGAGUGCAUACGUUGGGACCCGAAAGAUGGUGAACUAUGCCUGAGCAGAGCGAAGCCAGAGGAAACUCUGGUGGAGGUUCGUAGCGGUUCUGACGUGCAAAUCGAUCGUCAGAC